rnacentral:rRNA from 1 species
UACGAAGGGGGCUAGCGUUGUUCGGAAUUACUGGGCGUAAAGGGCGCGCAGGCGGUUGUGCAAGUCGCGUGUGAAAGCCCCCGGCUCAACUGGGGAGGGUCACGCGAUACUGCUCAACUCGAAGGCAGGAGAGGGGAGUGGAAUUCCCGGUGUAGUGGUGAAAUGCGUAGAUAUCGGGAGGAACACCAGUGGCGAAGGCGACUUCCUGGCCUGUUCUUGACGCUGAGGCGCGAAAGCUAGGGUAGCAAACGGG